ACGAAAGGUCAAAUCAAACUUCAAUCUCCUCAAUAGGAACAACAUGGGAAGGAUCCAAUCUAUACGUUCAAAGCAUGGAAGCAUGGAAACAUGGAAGACAUCGUAGAUGCACUCAAGCUGAGGCAGCCACAAAAGACGAUAAGCAACCGGUCCAAUCCACUCAAUCACCUCAUAAGGGCCAACGAACCUCGAACUAAGCUUACCCUUCUGUCC
rnacentral:lncRNA from 1 species